rnacentral:rRNA from 1 species
GCCCAGCACCGAAUCCUUCACCAUCUCGGUGACAGGAAAUGUGGUGUUUAGGCCGUACCUUGUCCCGACACGUCUCUCCUCAAGUCCACUUGNUUGUGGCCCCAGGCCCAGAGAGGGUGUAAGGCCCGUGGAGGCGAGACGUUCGGUACCUGGUGCGUCCUUAGAGUCGGGUUGUUUGGGAAUGCAGCCCUAAGCGGGUGGUAAACUCCAUCCAAGGCUAAAUACCAGCACGAGUCCGAUAGCGAAGAAGUACCGCGAGGGAAGGUUGAAAAGAACUUUGAAGAGAGAGUUCAAGAGUACGUGAAACCGCUGAGAGGCAAACUGGUGGAACUGAAAUGGUCCCGAGGAAUUCAGCCGUUGGUCGUUGCACAGUCUUUGGUGAUUGAUCUAACGACGGCGCCAUUGAAUGACGUUUCGAUCAUCGGUGCACUUUCCUCGCCUGGGCCCGACCACGACCGGUGAGCUGAUCUGUCUGUCGUGCUUGGAAGAUAGCGCCGUCUUCGGAAGGCGUGUUAUAGACAGGCAUACGGAGCAGUCGGCGCACUGGAUGAUAGUGCCUGCCCAUCUGGGCUCAUAUGGUGGUUGUUUUGUUGGCGAGUUCUGAUGUCACUACUUCGGUAGAGUCGUUAGACUCUGUUGGCAUUAUGGCUGUCCUCUAUGAUUGGCACUGUUAAGUCUGUGGUUGUGAAGUAGGUAGUCCACCUGACCCGUCUUGAAACACGGACCAAGGAGUCUAACAUGUGCGCGAGUCAUUGGGUUCACGAAACCUAAAGGCGCAGUGAAGGUAAAGAUCUGUUUUGGCAGAUUGAGGUGGGAUGCCGGGUUACGCGCCCGGCCGCACUACCGGCCCGUUCUAUAUGUCUUUCAUAGGAGCGGAGCAAGAGCGUACACGUUGGGACCCGAAAGAUGGUGAACUAUGCUUGCGCAGGUCGAAGCCAGAGA